GUAGGUGGCAAGCGUUGUCCGGAAUUAUUGGGCGUAAAGCGCGCGCAGGCGGUUCUUUAAGUCUGAUGUGAAAGCCCACGGCUCAACCGUGGAGGGUCAUUGGAAACUGGAGAACUUGAGUACAGAAGAGGAAAGCGGAAUUCCGCGUGUAGCGGUGAAAUGCGUAGAGAUGUGGAGGAACACCAGUGGCGAAGGCGGCUUUCUGGUCUGUAACUGACGCUGAGGCGCGAAAGCGUGGGGGAGCAAACAGGAUUAGAUACCCUGGUAGUCCACGCCGUAAACGAUGAGUGCUAAGUGUUAGGGGGUUUCCGCCCCUUAGUGCUGCAGCUAACGCAUUAAGCACUCCGCCUGGGAGUACGGCCGCAAGGCUG
rnacentral:rRNA from 1 species